CUCAAAUCAGGUAGGACUACCCGCUGAACUUAAGCAUAUCAAUAAGCGGAGGAAAAGAAACUAACAAGGAUUCCCCUAGUAACUGCGAGUGAAGCGGGAAGAGCUCAAUUUAAAAUCUGGCGUGCCUCUGGUCGUCCGAGUUGUAGUCUGGAGAGCGUUUCCGUG
rnacentral:rRNA from 1 species